rnacentral:miRNA from 1 species
UAGGAACUAAAUUGAUUGUUU